rnacentral:rRNA from 1 species
CCGAACCGACUAAUGUUGAAAAAUUAGCGGAUGACCUGUGGCUGGGGGUGAAAGGCCAAUCAAACCGGGAGAUAGCUGGUUCUCCCCGAAAGCUAUUUAGGUAGCGCCUCGUGAAUUCAUCUCCGGGGGUAGAGCACUGUUUCGGCUAGGGGGCCAUCCCGGCUUACCAACCCGAUGCAAACUGCGAAUACCGGAGAAUGUUAUCACGGGAGACACACGGCGGGUGCUAACGUCCGUCGUGAAGAGGGAAACAACCCAGACCGCCAGCUAAGGUCCCAAAGUCAUGGUUAAGUGGGAAACGAUGUGGGAAGGCCCAGACAGCCAGGAUGUUGGCUUAGAAGCAGCCAUCAUUUAAAGAAAGCGUAAUAGCUCACUGGUCGAGUCGGCCUGCGCGGAAGAUGUAACGGGGCUAAACCAUGCACCGAAGCUGCGGCAGCGACACUGUGUGUUGUUGGGUAGGGGAGCGUUCUGUAAGCCUGUGAAGGUGUGUCGUGAGGCAUGCUGGAGGUAUCAGAAGUGCGAAUGCUGACAUAAGUAACGAUAAAGCGGGUGAAAAGCCCGCUCGCCGGAAGACCAAGGGUUCCUGUCCAACGUUAAUCGGGGCAGGGUGAGUCGACCCCUAAGGCGAGGCCGAAAGGCGUAGUCGAUGGGAAACGGGUUAAUAUUCCCGUACUUGGUGUUACUGCGAAGGGGGGACGGAGAAGGCUAUGUUGGCCGGGCGACGGUUGUCCCGGUUUAAGCGUGUAGGUGUGUGUUCCAGGUAAAUCCGGUUCACUUUAACACUGAGGCGUGACGACGAGGCACUACGGUGCUGAAGCAACAAAUGCCCUGCUUCCAGGAAAAGCCUCUAAGCAUCAGGUAACAUCAAAUCGUACCCCAAACCGACACAGGUGGUCAGGUAGAGAAUACCAAGGCGCUUGAGAGAACUCGGGUGAAGGAACUAGGCAAAAUGGUGCCGUAACUUCGGGAGAAGGCACGCUGACACGUAGGUGAAGUGAUUUACUCAUGGAGCUGAAGUCAGUCGAAGAUACCAGCUGGCUGCAACUGUUUAUUAAAAACACAGCACUGUGCAAACACGAAAGUGGACGUAUACGGUGUGACGCCUGCCCGGUGCCGGAAGGUUAAUUGAUGGGGUCAGCGCAAGCGAAGCUCCUGAUCGAAGCCCCGGUAAACGGCGGCCGUAACUAUAACGGUCCUAAGGUAGCGAAAUUCCUUGUCGGGUAAGUUCCGACCUGCACGAAUGGCGUAAUGAUGGCCAGGCUGUCUCCACCCGAGACUCAGUGAAAUUGAACUCGCUGUGAAGAUGCAGUGUACCCGCGGCAAGACGGAAAGACCCCGUGAACCUUUACUAUAGCUUGACACUGAACAUUGAGCCUUGAUGUGUAGGAUAGGUGGGAGGCUUUGAAGUGUGGACGCCAGUCUGCAUGGAGCCGACCUUGAAAUACCACCCUUUAAUGUUUGAUGUUCUAACGUGGACCCGUUACCCGGGUUGCGGACAGUGUCUGGUGGGUAGUUUGACUGGGGCGGUCUCCUCCUAAAGAGUAACGGAGGAGCACGAAGGUUGGCUAAUCCUGGUCGGACAUCAGGAGGUUAGUGCAAUGGCAUAAGCCAGCUUGACUGCGAGCGUGACGGCGCGAGCAGGUGCGAAAGCAGGUCAUAGUGAUCCGGUGGUUCUGAAUGGAAGGGCCAUCGCUCAACGGAUAAAAGGUACUCCGGGGAUAACAGGCUGAUACCGCCCAAGAGUUCAUAUCGACGGCGGUGUUUGGCACCUCGAUGUCGGCUCAUCACAUCCUGGGGCUGAAGUAGGUCCCAAGGGUAUGGCUGUUCGCCAUUUAAAGUGGUACGCGAGCUGGGUUUAGAACGUCGUGAGACAGUUCGGUCCCUAUCUGCCGUGGGCGCUGGAGAACUGAGGGGGGCUGCUCCUAGUACGAGAGGACCGGAGUGGACGCAUCACUGGUGUUCGGGUUGUCAUGCCAAUGGCACUGCCCGGUAGCUAAAUGCGGAAGAGAUAAGUGCUGAAAGCAUCUAAGCACGAAACUUGCCCCGAGAUGAGUUCUCCCUGAGACUUAAAGUCUCCUGAAGGAAC